GAGAAGGCUAAGUAUGAAGUAUGAUGCCUGCCUGGCAUUACUUGGAGACACGGUUUUGGUUUAUAAAGGAAAAUGAAAUAAAAUCCUAGCGUGGCCAGGAUAUGGCUAUGACACGUGUCGUAAAAGGAAAAGGAGAUUGGGCUUGGAUUUAUUUCAGCUCAGCUUCAUUAUUUCGUUAACCAAUCCCCUGAAAGCUGAAACCAUCAAGGUAUGGUCUGGUUGCAAGCUCUCAGGAAGUCUUGAUCGGUUCACCUUGCUAAUCCCUUACUGUCUUGACACUAUCGAAUGGGAUGUUAAAUACAAUGCGGACUUUCCACUGGCUGCACCUGAUGUUAUAUUUGGCCCUGAAGACGAAGAGUUUCAUCCAUUUCCAAUGUCACCGCAAGCAAGAAUAGCUUAUCAGAUUGGAACAACAAAGAUCCCACACGGCUAUUGGUUCUCGUUCAGGAAUUGAGGUUAGCGUUAUAGGUUAUGAGAAACUUCGUUUAGAUACUUGAAGAAAAUGAAUGUUAAUUUUUUUUAGGGAUCAGUGCAUGUCCUAUUAAAGGAAGCGUGUUGGAGAGGUAGAUGAUGAUCAAUUGAAAUUUGAAAUCAGUACUAUGUUAUCUAGGGAGGUAAUAUGUUGGCUUUAACAGUCAUGGGAUUUUAUUAUAUGGUAGAAAUUUGAAUUCUCAUAGCAGAAAAUGAAUGAAAUCUAUAUUUCUAAAUCUUUACUAAAUAAACUUAAGACUGGUUUUUCUUCUGCCUUGCAGUUGAUUACUAAUAGUGAACAACAGUAUACUUUGUUUUUUGAUCUUCCAAGUUCUCCUGAAACUCAGUUAUAGCUUGCUGCCUUUUCUAGGACUUACAUUGGUAAAACUAUAGAAAAUGAGAUGUGGAUGACAGUAAUAAGUUAACAGCAAUGAGCACUAAUGAUGAUUAUUUUGCACAGUUUCGAUACAAUUAUUGGUAUAUGCUAACAUGAGCCAUUCUCUCAUACUUAUGGAUGUUGCUUUUCCUUUUGAUGGAGUGAUGAUCCAUGAAUGUUUUUUUUUUUUUUUUGUUUUCGAAACUUGAUGUUAGUUUUAACUCCCUUCAGGUGUCAAAAAGGUAUUUAUCACUCCAUCAAAAUUAAUGAAAACUACUUAGCAUGUCUUUCCAUUUAUAUUUGUGCUUUCCAUGCCUUUAAUUUUUAGCGUAAGCAGAGGAAGUCAAAUUUUCUGUACUUCUUUUAGACAUGAAUAUAAACAAAAUGGUGGUUGGGUGUUAAUGGAGACAUCAACAGAGGGUAUACUUACAGGUUCAAUUCCCCUAUUGUUUUCUUUCUUCAAGUUUCUUUUCCUUUGUCUUUCUUAAUUUCCCCAUAUAUAAUAUCAUGUGCUUCGUGGAUUUUCUUCCAGGUUUUUAACAGAAAUGCUAUGUUUUUUGCUGCCUCUGGAGCUUUCUCCUUCCUGGUGCUAUUUUUCCUGUCUACAAAGUAUCCAAAACAGCAGCCUGUUUUAAUGCUUGAAAGUUCCCUGUAAUUCAACUUUCAAAGUAUCCCGAUCAAGUCUCCUCUUCUAACAGAAUGUGUGUGGAGUUGAAGAUGGGAAGCAACACUGUUGUGCAUUAUUUCAUUCCAGUUGUUAAACAGAGUAUCGCCAUAAAAAGAAGAAAAUUAGAAGCUGAUGCUGAGAACUAGGGCUACUACCAGUCUUAGGUUUCAUUAUGUAUGUGACUGGAAACUGAAGAUAAAGAUGGCUGUUAAUUUGAAGAAUGAUACAAGAAGGCUAAGUCUGAGGGAGGGCGGGAAAGAGAAGAGACUGGAAUUGCCUGGUAUUACCUGGAGACAGGGUUUUCGCUUAUAGAGGAAAAUAAAAUAAAAUCCUAGAGCGACCAGAACGUGGUGUAUGACACGCGUCGAUAAAAGGGAGAAGGAGAUUGGAGUAAUGGGAGUUCUGAGGUUUUUUUUUAGCCUGAAUGAGCUUGAUUGGUCAAAUAGAUUUGAUCCAAAUUUGGUGAUUAAUUUAUCUGGGAUGAACUAAUGAUUGCAUCGAAUUGAUAUGAACGAAUCACAUUGACUUAUAGUUUAA